rnacentral:rRNA from 1 species
UGCUUCGGAAUCUGCCCUUCAGUGGGGAAUAACCAGUCGAAAGAUUGGCUAAUACCGCAUACGAACUACGGUUGAAAGCAGGGGAUCGCAAGACCUUGCGCUGAUGGAUGAGCCGAAGUCGGAUUAGCUUGUUGGUGGGGUAACGGCCUACCAAGGCGACGAUCCGUAGCUGGUCUGAGAGGACGACCAGCCACACUGGGGACUGAGACACGGCCCAG